rnacentral:rRNA from 1 species
AAGUGGAGCAAUCCAUGAGUAAAGUGGUGCACGGGUGAGUAACACGUGACUAACCUACCCUUGAGUGGGGAAUAACUUCGGGAAACCGAGGCUAAUACCGCAUAACACCUACGGGUCAAGGGAGCAAUUCGCUUAAGGAGGGGGUCGCGGCAGAUUAGUUAGUUGGCGGGGUAAUGGCCCACCAAGACAGUGAUCUGUAUCCGGCCUGAGAGGGCGCACGGACACACUGGAACUGAAACACGGUCCAGACUCCUACGGGAGGCAGCAGUGGGGAAUUUUGCGCAAUGGGGGAAACCCUGACGCAGCAACGCCGCGUGGAGGAUGAAGCCCCUUGGG